CCGCCCGCCCGCUGGCUCUCGGGCCCAGCCGGGCUGCCUGGUUAGCCCGGGGAGGGCCACAUCCCUGCCGCCCCAGUCACCGCCCUUCUUGAGCCGGGAAUCCCGCCCACGCCGCGCCACGCUCCGCCCCCGGAACAUACUAGGCGAUCUCGACAGUCGCUCCGUGACAGCCCACCAACCCCCAACCCUCUACCUCGCAGCCACCCUAAAGGCGACUUCAAGAAGAUGGAAGGAUCUCACGGAUCUCAUUCCUAAUGGUCCGCCGAAGUCUCACACAGUAGACAGACGGAGUUGAGAUGCUGGAGGAUGCAGUCACCUCCUAAACUUACGACCCACCACCAGACUUCAUCCCAGCCGGGACGUCCUCCCCCACCCGAGUCCUCCCCAUUUCUUCUCCUACUUUGCCGCAGUUCCAGGUGUCCUGCUUCCACCAGUCCCACAAAGCUCAAUAAAUACCAAGAGACCUGCAUUUACAGCAGGGGGAACAUCUCACACCCUUGCAUAAGUUAAAAUAAAUAUUACGUACACAUCUCCAUCACCUAGGAGGACGUACAUAAAUACAUAUAAAUAUUAAUUAGGAGCAAUAAGAAAUAAAUUAACGACGCUCUCCUUCCCACCGGGCCUAGCCCCAGCUGGGCUGUGCCUCGGUCUCUAUGCGCCUCGGUCUCUGUGCGCCUCGGUCCCGCCUCAAGCACCGGGUGGCGUCUCCGCUGUAGUGUUCUGAGUUCAAGUUGCCUCGGAAGUCCCAGUUGGGGAUACGCUCUCGCGCACCAGGUACGCCUGGUGUUUCUUUGUGGUUUUUCGG
rnacentral:lncRNA from 1 species